rnacentral:rRNA from 1 species
GUCGGAAUCUAGGAGGACCAUCUCCUAAGGCUAAAUACUCUCUAGUGACCGAUAGUGAACCAGUACCGUGAGGGAAAGGUGAAAAGUACCCCGGAAGGGGAGUGAAAAAGAACUUGAAACCGUGUGCUUACAAGUAGUCAGAGCCCGUUAAUGGGUGAUGGCGUGCCUUUUGUAGAAUGAACCGGCGAGUUACGAUCUGAUGCAAGGUUAAGCAGCGAAUGUGGAGCCGUAGCGAAAGCGAGUCUGAAUAGGGCGAAUGAGUAUUUGGUCGUAGACCCGAAACCAGGUGAUCUACCCAUGGUCAGGUUGAAGUUCAGGUAACACUGAAUGGAGGACCGAACCGACUUACGUUGAAAAGUGAGCGGAUGAACUGUGGGUAGCGGAGAAAUUCCAAUCGAACUUGGAGAUAGCUGGUUCUCUCCGAAAUAGCUUUAGGGCUAGCCUCAAGUGAUGAUUAUUGGAGGUAGAGCACUGUUUGGACGAGGGGCCCCUCUCGGGUUACCGAAUUCAGACAAACUCCGAAUGCCAAUCAAUUUAACUUGGGAGUCAGAACGUGGGCGAUAAGGUUCAUGUUCGAAAGGGAAACAGCCCAGACCACCAGCUAAGGUCCCAAAAUAUAUGUUAAGUGGAAAAGGAUGUGGCGUUGCCCAGACAACUAGGAUGUUGGCUUAGAAGCAGCCAUCAUUUAAAGAGUGCGUAAUAGCUCACUAGUCGAGUGACGCUGCGCCGAAAAUGUACCGGGGCUAAACAUAUUACCGAAGCUGUGGAUUGUCCUUCGGACAAUGGUAGGAGAGCGUUCUAAGGGCGUUGAAGCAUGAUCGCAAGGACAUGUGGAGCGCUUAGAAGUGAGAAUGCCGGUGUGAGUAGCGAAAGACGGGUGAGAAUCCCGUCCACCGAUUGACUAAGGUUUCCAGAGGAAGGCUCGUCCGCUCUGGGUUAGUCGGGUCCUAAGCUGAGGCCGAUAGGCGUAGGCGAUGGAUAACAGGUUGAUAUUCCUGUACCACCCACUUUCGUUUUAAGCGAUGGGAGGACGCAGUAGGAUAGGCGAAGCGUGCGAUUGGAUGUACGUUCAAGCAGUAAGGCUGAGUGUUAGGCAAAUCCGGCACUCGUCAGGCUGAGCUGUGAUGAGGAGGGGGAAUUGUUCCCCUGAGUCGCUGAUUUCACACUGCCGAGAAAAGGCUCUAGCUAGAAAACGGGUGCCCGUACCGCUAACCGACACAGGUAGUCAAGAUGAGCAUUCUAAGGUGAGCGAGAGAACUCUCGUUAAGGCACUCGUCAAAAUGACCACGUAACUUCGGGAGAAGGGGUGCUCUCUGGGGUGUACGCUCCGUAGAGCCGCAGUGAAUAGGCCCAAGCGACAGUUUAUCAAAAACACA